AUCAGCUCUUAGAUUAGCAAGCGGUGUGGUGUUUGGUGUUCGGAUGGACGUUGUGAGGAUGAGUUAAUAUAACGGGAUCUUAUCGGGUGAUGCUUGAUGGUGCUUGGUCCUGUUCGACGCGUAUGGAUGAUCAGACCAAAGUUGGGGUACGUCAAAGGAUAAAUUAUGUACAUGUGCGUCAGAGGGGAGAGGGACAUGUGACAGGGUAGCAGUGAAUACAUCAUAGAUAUAACUUCUGGCGAGCAACGAGGACAGUGUUUUUAGACAUCUAUAGCAUCUACGUUCACAAAUUAUUAUUAUUACAGUUCUGUUUUAAAGAGACAACAUACUACCAAAAAAAAAAAGAAAUAAAAUAUAGUAAAAAAGAGAAAGAACAAAAAAUGGAACAUAUGCAAUGUACAAUUGAUCAUACACAGUUCCAUAAAUUCAAUAUGAUAACAAGGUGAUGACCAAAAACCACUAAGAUUCUAACUUGUUUAUUCUAAGUUUCAUAGCAUUGUCGUAUAUGAAUUUUGCUGUAUUUCGUACUUAACUUUCUUUCUUUUCAGACAUAAUGUAUUUGAAUUUCGUAAUAAUUUGUCAGUUCGAUGAAAUGUUAUCAUCUUUUCUCAGAUCAGAAUAGGCAGUACAACAUAAUAAAAAGUAUUCCGAUUCAACAACAUUUUGCAUACAAAGUUUACAUAUUCUGUUUGACCUUUCUAUGUUGUUAUAUUUACCAGUUUCAAUCUCAGGGGAAUGUGAUAAGUCUGAAACGGAUUAAUUCCUUACGAUGUUUUUCAUUUUUUAUAUUUACUAGAUAGUUUUCAAACUAAAAAUCUUCUUUAAAUUUACAAUAUUAUUCCAUUUUGGGUUGUAUUGAAAGUGUUUCGUGCCAUGACUGAAUGUAUUGGUCUUUUAGUCUUUGUGAAAUCAUAGGAAGUGAAUAAUCGCUCAUAGUAAAAUCUAUAAGAUUACCAAAACCAAGCUUGUUUAGCAAAGUUGAUAGGGAAGAAAACCACAAACUAUUCAAAUCACUAAUACGAUUCUCUUGAGCAAAGUUAAUUUGUUUCAUCAAAGUUUCAUGCAUUUAAAAGUUUGGUGAGUUGAUCAUCUUUAGCCAGUAUUUAAUUGAUUUUUCUUUACAUACGGUUGUUAACGGAAAUCUUCCAAGCUCACCAAGGACAGCAGCAUUUGAGGUUUGUUGUUUUACGCCUAGAACAUAUUUACCGAAUUUGAUAUGCAGCUUGUCUAAGUCAGUAAAAGUGUAUAUUCCCCAAACUUCAGCUCCAUAUAACAAAAUAGGAACUACAAGUGCAUCAAAAAGUGAAAGUUUUGUUUUAAUAUCUAAGGAAACUCUACUUAAAAUCGACAGCAAGUGGUUGUACGCUUUCACGGUCUGAUCAUUCAACAUUUUUACUGUAUGAUUAAAUUUACCAUUUGACGAGAAAUUAAUGCCUAGAUAGCAAAAGUUAUCGACCUUUUCAAGAAUCUCAUUGUUAAUAGUCCAAUAAAAGUUACAAAAUGCUUUUCCUUUGUUCGAAGAUGCAUAUUUUUUUUUUUAUUAAUCUUUAAACCCCAUUUACAUGAAUAUUGAAAUAGAGAAUUGAGUUGAUUUUGUAGACUGCCGGGAUCAGUGGUAAAUAAGGCAAUGUCAUCCGCAAAUAAUAACAUAAAAACCGAUAAGAUAUCUAAAUCAUUCUGCGUUAGGUUAUUAUAUUCAAUUAUCUCUGUGACGUCAUUAAUGAACAGAAUAAACAGAAGAGGGGAUAAUGGCUUUCCUUGUUUGACACCGAGUGAAAUUUAAAAAAAUUGAAAACGACAUAUCAGAAGAGUUUUUAAUACACGCGUUUACAUUACUUUAUUUGAUCAUAUUAAUCAUCUUAGAACUUAUUCCUGAUUGUAUUAAUUUUACCCAUAAUACAUCAUGGAUUACUGAAUCAAAAGCCUUUACAUAUGUUAUUUUUUAUUGGUAUUUGUAUGAGUGAAUGAAGUAUAAAAAUACAGUCAGCCGUGCUGCGAUUUGUUUUUAAUCCAUACUGAGCUGUGUAUUAUUAUAAUAUGUCUGAUUAUUUUCGCACAAUUUGGACUAUUAAGAGCAAGAGAGAACAUUUUUGCAUCUAUAUUUAUGAGAGUGAAUCCCCUAUAAUUUGAUUGAUUCGUUUUAUCUCCUUUUUUUAAAAUCGGGACAAUUGCCCCAUGCAACAUGAUUCUGGAUAUAAACCUCUUCCAAAUAUAAAAUUAAAAAUGUGAGUAAGAUAAGGAGCAAUAAACGUAUUUGAAUCGAUAAAACAAUAUAUGAUAAAUCACUUCUUUUAUUACGUUUGAGACUAAAAAUGACUACUUAACUCGUUCACUGAAAAAUCGCAAUCGAGUUCUUCGAUGCUUAUAUUGGCGUCGCCAAGUGAGAGAUCAUUUGCAUCAAAAUUGCUAAGGUUUUGUGUAUAAUUUUUUGAAAUGGCCAAAGAAAUCGUCGACAUCAAUAUGGUUAGGUUUUGCUUUGGUGUUAUUUUUAAAUUUGUUGAUAUAUUUCCAGAAUUUACGGGUAUCUGUUUUACUUAUCGUAGAUAAUGUUUGUUUUUCUUUUGCAAAAUAAUCCCGCUUUGCUUUAUUUUUAAUAUUCGAAUAGUCGUUUCUGGCUUUCAAAAAUAGAGUCCUAUUUUCAUUUGUAUUGUUAUUGA